rnacentral:misc_RNA from 1 species
AACGCACAUUGCGCCUCCCGUAACUGGGAGGCAUGCCUGUCUGAGCUUCAUUUAAACCAAUAAGCCCGAAAUGGGUUUGUGCUGGGCCUCGCCUGUCGGCGUUGCCUCAAAGUCAUCUGUCUUAUGAGCGGAUGGAGAUCCACUAGGACUUGACCGUUUGUCAGACCCUAAAUCCUCUAGACUUGAACUCAGAUCAGGUAGGACUACCGCCUGAACUUAA